GAUUCUGUGAAGAGACCUCUUGUCCAAAGAUGUGAGAUCAACAAUGGAAGUGUGAAGAGUAUUUAGUUGUUCCUGUUCUGGUUACCCCUGUACCCAAUGGAACGCUUGCUUUGCAGAGACAUUCAGAGACACAAGGCCUGAUUUCCCUGGCUGUUCUGGAGACAGAAGCUUCCCAGGAGUGGGGGAACAGGACAAGCUGGUGCAGUCCAGGAGUGGUGGGGCCAACUGGUUAAUCAGCACAUUCUGCCCAUGCGGUAUCCUCCAGUCCUGCUCGUGUGGAGUCCUUAAUCUGAAUUUAAAACUGCAGGUAGGGAGUGCCUUUGCAGCCCUUCACACUUGGAAUUUAGUGUCCAAAACAAGAAACAAGAAAG